UGUUCUCGCUACCGCUGUCUGCAUGAUUUCGUUGCUUCGCUUCCUGGAGAAUCACAAGAAUAACAUGCUAAGGAUGUUCAAAGGAGACAAAUCAUUCAUUGCCAAGAAAAUUAACGUGUCACAGUUCAUGAUUGGUAAAGGGCUGCGAUACAGCAGCUAUCAUAUUGCAUACUUCUUGUGCGG